CUGAAAACAAUGACUCCUUAUCCACAAGAUUCAUAUAGAGCCAGUAGCUUACUUGGAAGAGCAAAUACUGUGGGAACUUGAGAAAGAUGAUGAUCCAAAGUCAACUUCAAGUUUGGAGUUGCAAGAAAGAACCACAGAUUAAAAUGGAACUGGAAUCAACUGGACCCUGGGAACUCUUGCUAAUGAGAGCUCUUCCGCACAAGAACCACAUAUUAUGGUGUCUUAAUACAAACCUUCAAAAGUUAGUGCCUACCACCAAAUAUCAUUACAAAAGGGAUUUCUUCCUCAUGUGAAUUGGAGGAGAUAGACAAUUUAGUUCAUGACAAGGAACUACAACAGUCAGAACUGGAGAGACUAAUCAAGCACCUCCCUCCGCAAGGUCAGUCUGAAGAACCUCUCACCAUCUUUAUGAAUUUUCCUCAUUUCUGGCCAAACCUCAGACCAGGUUACAUAUAGCUCACCUCUUUCUCUGGACAAAGGAAUUCAGAGAAUCAUGUUCACCUAACUCACUUCCACUUAGCACCUUACAAUCACACUGCACUAUCUCAUUAUCCCUUUCAUAUCCUCUAAGACAAAUGUUUGAUAUGCUCUCUUACUCAAACCCCAACAUCUUCUCUUUCUGUCUUCUCUGGAUUUCUGAUUCAUUGAGAAAACAAAAUCAGUAAAAAGAAGACUUGUAGAAAUUCUCCCUGCCAUUCCACUCACAUCUACCCAGUGUCAGUAUUUGUUGGUGAGAUGAUCUGUCUAUAUGGUUCUCUAAAACCACCCUCAUCUCCUUAUUAUGUGGUCAGC